GAGAGAGAAUACUGAGGUAGAGAGAGAAUACUGGGGUAGAGAGAGAAUACUGGGGUAGAGAGAGAAUACUGAGGUAGAGAGAGAAUACUGGGGUAGAGAGAGAAUACUGGGGUAGAGGGAGAAUACUGGGGUAGAGAGAGAAUACUGAGGUAGAGAGAGAAUACUGGGGUAGAGAGAGAAUACUGGGGUAGAGAGAGAAUACUGAGGUAGAGAGAUAAUACUGGGGUAGAGAGAGGAUACUGAGGUAGAGAGAGAAUACUGAGGUAGAGAGAAGACUGGGGAAGAGAGAAUACUGGGGUAGAGUGAAUACUGGGGUAGAGAGAGAUAGAGAGAGUACUGGGGUAGAGUGAAUACUGGGGUAGAGAGAGAUAGAGAGAGGACUGGGGUAGAGAGAGGACUGGGGUAGAGAGAGGACUUGGGUAGAGAGAGGACUGGGGUAGAGAGAGGACUGGGGUAGAGAGAGGACUUGGGUAGAGAGAGGACCGGGGUAGAGAGAGGACUGGGAGAGAGAGAGUGCUGGGGUAGAGAGAGGACUGGGGUAGAGAGAAUACUGGGGUAGAGAGAGAGAGAGAGAGUGCUGGGGUAGAGAGAGGACUGGGGUAGAGAGAAUCCUGGGGUAGAGAGAAUACUGGGUGUAGAGAGAAUACUGGGGUAGAGAGAUAUAGAGAGAGGACUGGGGUAGAGAGAGGACUGGGGUAGAGAGAAUCCUGGGGUAGAGAGAAUACUGGGGUAGAGAGAGAUAGAGAGAAUACUGGGGUAGAGUUAAUACUGGGGUAGAGAGAGGACUGGGGUAGAGAGAGGACUGGGGUAGAGAGAAUCCUGGGGUAGAGAGAAUACUGGGGUAGAGAGAGGACUGGGGUAGAGAGAGGACUGGGGUAGAGAGAAUCCUGGGGUAGAGAGAAUACUGGGGUAGAGAGAGAUAGAGAGAAUACUGGGGUAGAGUUAAUACUGGGAGAGUUUGGGGUAGAGAGAGGACUGGGGUAGAGAGAGGACUGGGGUAGAGAGAAGGCUGGGGUAGAGGGAGGACAGGGAUAGAGAGAAUACUGGGGUAGAGAGAGAGAGAGUUUGGGGUAGAGAGAGGACUGGGGUAGAGUGAAUACUGGGGUAGAGAUAAUACUGGGGUAGAGAUAAUACUGGGGUAGAGAUAAUACUGGGGUA
ensembl:lncRNA